ACCAAAAACGCAUAACUUUCGGUCGAGCGUAUGUACACAGUCUGUGAAUGUGUGAACAGCCGGGUUGUGCCAGUUUUGUGACAUGUCAUGUCAUGAUGUGCCAGUUUUUUCAGCUAGUAAAGAGUGUGCUCGAUCAGCUUAAAUUCAGUGAAAAUCUAUUUAAAAAGUGGUUUCCCUAGUGAUUUCGUCAAGGAUUCUUGUAAGGAAAAAAUAAAGGUUACUGCGGGACUUCACAGGAGUUCUUUUGGGAGCUUCAGGAAUAUGGGGAGCAUGUGAACGAUUUGCUGUACAAAAUUAGAGUAGCUGUUUCAAGUAGUUACAAUGCUGCAGGAGUUCCGCGAAAAGAAUCCAAAUCACAAACUUCUUGACGUCUGUGAAAAGGGAUGGGGGAAAGGAAUUCAGCUGGCGGUUUUUCAGAAUGGUAUCCUUCUCAUCAAAAUUAAUGCUUUAGGAUCUUUUGUUUGGAGCUCCUUCUACAAUCUCCUUCAGCACAACUUCAUCGAACAAUUUGGGCCAGUUUCUUCAAGGAUUUCCUGCAAAAUUCGGGAAUAUCAGUGUAGGUAGCACUGGUGAUGAUGCAGGUGGUGGAAGUGCCUCUCAUUUGAGCUCCAGACAACAGCAAGCAGCCCGUGGAACAAGCAAUCCCCCAAAGUUGGACAUCUUUUUCAUUGACCUUUUGGCAGAUAUUGAACAGCUGAUGAACUAAUUCAAUCACUCUGAUGCCCAAAACUUUUAUGAGUACAUACAGGAGAAUUGCUUCAAAAAAAUUUACAGCGUUGAGAUAAAAAACACCAGAAUAGCAACCACAGAAAUGUUAAUGACUGGAAUCUGCCCUUUUAUUCCUCAGCACUGCCUGAAGCAAAGCCUAUGUGAAACUAUUUACUAAAACUAUUGAGAUUCUGUUAUAAAAAUUCUUCACAUUUGCAUCAGAUGUCAUUUUUACUGGACCACGUCUUCGACAAAUUUUCCUCGUUAUACAAGUUUAGAAAAAAUAUGCAAGGAAAGCGUAUUUUUGAAACCCCAAAAUAUUUCUCAAUCAAUAAUGAGUUUGUUAAUAAAAAUAGGUGUUAUAAUGUCAAUAAUAUUCUAACUAA